rnacentral:tRNA from 1 species
GGGCCAUUAGCUCAGCUGGUUAGAGCGCACGCUUGAUAAGCGUGAGGCGACUGGUUCAAAUCCAGUAUGGCCCA